rnacentral:misc_RNA from 1 species
GAUGAAGAACGCAGCGAAAUGCGAUAAGUAAUGUGAAUUGCAGAAUUCAGUGAAUCAUCGAAUCUUUGAACGCACAUUGCGCCCGCCAGUAUUCUGGCGGGCAUGCCUGUCUGAGCGUCAUUUCAACCCUCAUGCACCUAGGGCGUGGUGUUGGGGAUCGGCCAAAGCCCGCGAGGGACGGCCGGCCCCUAAAUCUAGUGGCGGACCCGUCGUGGCCUCCUCUGCGAAGUAGUGAUAUUCCGCAUCGGAGAGCGAUGAGCCCCUGCCGUUAAACCCCCAACUUUCCAAGGUUGACCUCAGAUCAGGUAGGAAUACCCGCUGAACUUAAGCAUAUCAAUAAGCGGAGGA